GGCCGGAUAGCUCAGUUGGUAGAGCAGGUGCCUGAAGAGCACCGUGUCGUUGGUUCGAUUCCGACUCCGGCCACCU
rnacentral:tRNA from 1 species